rnacentral:lncRNA from 1 species
AACAGUGAUGAACCACUGGGACCUGGGACGGACUUAUUCGCUUGCAUGCCAUUGUGCUCAUUCGCAUAUACUUGUGAGGGUCGCUCCCUACAAGUCGGCACUACGGAGAUAGCCAUCGCGACAUAUGCUCGCCCGUGCGGGAUUGGGCGCCAAAAUGGGAUGCCGUGGGGGAGGCUCAUUCCUAGAGUGGGGAUGUUGACUACCACGGGGCCAUUGUUGGCACGGCGCAGGCCGGACUACCUACGGGUAACUUCCACAGGAUUGAGUUACUGGUGACAUAUUGUACCUUUUGGACAUUGACUAGAAUAGUAAACAAUGACAUCUUUACUAUUUACAUUAUGGACAUUGGGUUAGUUGCAUACUUAUGCAUUUACAUGUUGGAUACUCUUCUGCACUUACUUGUAGUAGUU